GACGGACUAUGCGUUACAAGUCAUACCUUUGCAAACACUCGUAAAGUUGAGAAGUCUGUAGCAGCCCAGAGAUAAUUAGAACAAUGAAGCUGUUGAUCUUGUGUGCUGCUGUCUUGAUGCUCAGCGAUGGAAUCGAGGCAAGGAAAAGAGAUCCCCAACCAGAUGAGGCAAUGAAAAGAGAUCCCUGCCUUGGUGGCGGCCCCGGCGUUAUCUGUCGAAAGAAAAGACGCGAGCAGGCCGUACCGGACGAGACAAUGAAAAGAGAUCCCUGCCUUGGUGGCGGCCCCGGCGUUAUCUGUUAAAUUCUGUUCAGCUUCUGUUAAACUUAAAAUUUAAAGUUAACAUUAAUUUUUAACUACAUAAUUUAAAUAAAUGUCAAAU